rnacentral:rRNA from 1 species
UACGGAGGGUGCAAGCGUUAUCCGGAUUCACUGGGUUUAAAGGGUGCGUAGGUGGGUUGGUAAGUCAGUGGUGAAAUCCCCGAGCUUAACUUGGGAACCGCCAUUGAUACUAUCAGUCUUGAAUACUGUGGAGGUCAGCAGAAUAUGUCAUGUAGCGGUGAAAUGCUUAGAUAUGACAUAGAAUACCAAUUGCGAAGGCAGCUGGCUACACAAAUAUUGACACUGAGGCACGAAAGCGUGGGGAUCAAACAGG